rnacentral:rRNA from 1 species
UACAGAGACCUCAAGCGUUAUCCGGAAUCAUUGGGCGUAAAGCGUACCGAUAGGUGGUUUACAAAGUCAGAGGUGAAAUCUCAAAGGCUCAACCUUGAGUCUGUCCUUUGAUACUUGUAAACUAGAGGGGCAAAGAGGAAGCUGGAACGAACGGUGUAGUAGUGAAAAUGCGUUGAUAUCGUUCGGAACACCAAUAGCGUAGGCAAGCUUCUGGGUGCCACCUGACACUGCUAGGACGAAAGCGUGGGGAGCGAAUGGG